CCGUGAGGGAAAGAUGAAAAGAACUUUGAAAAGAGAGUUAAACAGUAUGUGAAAUUGUUAAAAGGGAACCGUUUGGAGCCAGACUGGCUUGUCUGUAAUCAAUCUAGGUUUCGUGCCUGGAUGCACUUGCAGACUAUUUGCCUGCCAACGACAAUUUUUUUUGAGUGUAAAAACUAUUGGAAAUGUGGCCAAUAUUUAUUUAUUGGUGUUAUAGUCCUUUAGAAAAUACCUUGAAUUGGAUUGAGGAACGCAGCGAAUGCUUCUCUUUUGAGGCAAAGUCUUUUAUUGGGAUUUACGGAUCAGACUGUGGCAUUGUCACAAGACUUGAAGUUUAAACCUAUUUUUGAACUUUUAUUCGCUUAGGUUGUUGGUUUAAUGACUCUAAAUGAC
rnacentral:rRNA from 1 species